rnacentral:rRNA from 1 species
GACGGAGGGUGCAAACGUUGUUCGGAUUUACUGGGCGUAAAGCGCGUGUAGGCGGCUUUGCAAGUCGGAUGUGAAAGCCCACGGCUCAACCGUGGAAGUGCAUCCGAAACGGCAUGGCUUGAGUCUCGGAGAGGAAGGUGGAAUGCUUGGUGUAGAGGUGAAAUUCGUAGAUAUCAAGCAGAACACCUGCGGCGAAGGCGGCCUUCUGGACGAUGACUGACGCUGAGACGCGAAAGCGUGGGGAGCAAACAGG